GGGCGCGUCGCGUCGGCCACGGGUUCGAUUCCGCGUUUGGGAAUCGAAUUAGCAGCGCGGAUAUAACGGACGCAGAGUCAUAAACGCGGAAUCGCGCGCUUCAGGGUUACUUUGGAGCGCGUUAAAUCCAAGGUACUCGCCCGAUGCAAGCCCGUCGGCUGGCGUGCCAAGGAUUAAAUCAAACAGCCUGACCAAGUAUGUAGAACUGCCUGUAGAGGACUUGCGGACGCGGGUUCGAUUCCCGCCGCCUCCACCA
rnacentral:tmRNA from 1 species